UUCAAAAGUGUUGACUUCAGUUCAGGGAAGCUUCCCUGUUCUGAUAAUUAAACUUGACAUUGACAUGGGCUAGGGGAGAUGACUGGAUAGAAUGCUUUAUCUAUUCAUUUAUCUCUUAGUCCUACAAAA
rnacentral:snoRNA from 1 species